GUGCUCUCUUCGGCAGCACAUAUACUAAAAUUCGAUACAAUACAGAGAAGAUUAGCAUGGCCCCGGCACAAGGAUGACACGUAAAUUCCUGAAGCAUAUUUUG
rnacentral:snRNA from 1 species